rnacentral:tRNA from 1 species
GAAAUGUUAGUAAAAUAUUACAUUAUCUUGUCAAGAUAAAAUUACAGAUGAAAACUCUGUACAUUUCU